rnacentral:rRNA from 1 species
UACCAGCUCUCCGAGUGGUGUGGAUGUUUAUUGGGCCUAAAGCAUCCGUAGCUGGCUGGGCAAGUCCCCUGUUAAAUCCACCGAUUUAAUCGUUGGAGUGCGGGGGAUACUGCUCGGCUAGGGGGCGGGAGAGGCAGACGGUAUUUUCGGGGUAGGGGUGAAAUCCUAUAAUCCCGAGAAAACCACCAGUGGCGAAGGCUGUCUGCUAGAACGUGCCCGACGGUGAGGGAUGAAAGCUGGGGGAGCGAACCGGAUUAGAUACCCGGGUAGUCCCAGCUGUAAACGAUGCAGGCUAGGUGUUUGGACGGCCACGUGCCGUUCUAGUGCCGCAGGGAAGCCGUUAAGCCUGCCGCCUGGGGAGUACGGCCGCAAGGCUGAAACUUAAAGGGAUUGGCGGGGGAGCACCACAAGGGGUGAAGCUUGCGGUUU